rnacentral:rRNA from 1 species
CCUACGGGUGGCAGCAGUGGGGAAUAUUGCGCAAUGGGCGAAAGCCUGACGCAGCGACGCCGCGUGAGGGAUGAAGGUCUUCGGAUCGUAAACCUCUGUCAGCAGGGAAGAACGGUCACUGUGCUAAUCCGCCGUGAAUUGACGGUACCUGCAAAGGAAGCACCGGCUACCUCCGUGCCAGCAGCCGCGGUAAUACGGUGGGUGCGAGCGUUAAUCGGAAUUACUGGGCGUAAAGCGUUCGUAGGCGGUAUGUCAAGUCAAGGGUGAAAACCGCGCGCUCAACGUGGGAGCUGCCUUUGAAACUGGCAGUCUUGAGUGCAGGAGAGGUGGGCGGAAUGCGUGGUGUAGCGGUGAAAUGCUUAGAUAUCACGAAGAACUCCGAUUGCGAAGGCAGUUCACGGGACUGCAACUGACGCUGAGGCACGAAAGUGUGGGGAUCAAACAGGAUUAGAUACCCUAGUAGUC